UAUUAAAAUUUUCAUCCAUUAGUAUUGUUAAAAAUUGACAUGGUGUGUCAUAUGUAUUUCAUGUUGACAUACAAUAAUCAUUUUUUAACAAUAAACGUAGAUAAAAUUUUUAACA
rnacentral:pre_miRNA from 1 species